UGGGGAAUAUUGGGCAAUGGGCGCAAGCCUGACCCAGCAACGCCGCGUGAAGGAAGAAGGCUUUCGGGUUGUAAACUUCUUUUGACAGGGAAGNGCAGAAGACGGUACCUGUCGAAUAAGCCACGGCUAACUACGUGCCAGCAGCC
rnacentral:rRNA from 1 species